UAGGGGGACGAGUCUUCUUGCGGGCCACGGAAAGGGGCGAGUGGAGACGAAUGGCUAUCUACCCUGUACUGUUGCUUUGGCUAUGUGGGUCAUGUGGUGACAGGAGUAUAUGACGCGCACACAAGAAUUACAAACGUGGCCUCAGACUAUGGGAACCUGUUCUGCAUCGUGUUGGGUGUAUCCGACCUACCCUAUAAGGGACUUCAGUGACCUUUCCCGACCCGGAUGGGUCACGUGACCACGAGCCUCGCGUCCCGCCUCGAGACCGGGUGUAGGAAGACACUGUUUGUCUUGGGGAGUAUUGCAGUCACAGUAUUGUGCCUCGCGCCGGCGGAAAAGUAAACUGCAUCAUCUACAAAAAGUAUGCAGUAAAGUGUUUCUGAGUAAUAAUGGUCAUUAACUCUAUACUUAAAGUGAGAAUAUAUCAAAUACCCAUCACAAAGUGAACUUGGAAUGAAUCUUAUAUUCACUUGUGCGUUUGCCAUUUCGCAUUGAUCAGUGUUGUCAGUGAUACCAUCAUAUAUCGUUAGGAUAUGAGUGAAUGUCUGACCGAGGUAUGUGUGUAUGAGUGAAUGUCUGACGGAGGUAUGUGUGUAUGAGAGAAUGUCUGACGGAGGUAUGUGUGUAUGAGUGAAUGUCUGACGGAGGUAUGUGUGUAUGAGUGAAUGUCUGACGGAGGUAUGUGUGUAUGAGUGAAUGUCUGACGGAGGUAUGUGUGUAUGAGUGAGUGUCUGACGGAGGUUUGUGUGUGCGAGUGAGUGUCUGGGGGAUGUAUGUGUGUAUGAGUGAGGGUGUUUAAAUAUAUAC